CCCUAAGCAGUAGUGGAGCUGAUCGAAGAUGGUGAAUCUUAUGUUCCCAAUACAGUGGAGAAGCAGAUUUAAGCCAUUAGUCCUACCACCCUAAGCAGUAGUCGGGUAGGUUAAAGAUUGCAGAUUCUGUCACCCUAAGCAGUAGUAAAGCAGAUCGAAGAUGGUGAAUCUUAUCUUCCCAAUACAGUGGAGAAGUAGAUUUAAGCCAAUAGUCCUAUCACCCUAAGCAGUAGUGGAGUAGGUUAAAGAUUACAGAUUCUGUCACCCUAAGCAGUAGUGGAGCAGAUCAAAUAUGACGAAUCUUACCUCCCAAUAUAGUGGAGAAGCAGAUUUAAGCCAUCAGUCCUAUCACCUUAAGCAGUAGUGGAGUAGGUUGAAGAAUUAUGAUUCUAUCACCCUAAGCAGUAGUGGAGCUGAUCGAAGAUUGUGAAUCUUAUGUUUCCAAUACAGUGGAGAAGCAGAUUUAAGCCAUUAGUCUACCACCCUAAGCAGUAGUCGGGUAGGUUGAAGAUUGCAGAUUCUGUCACCCUAAGCAGUAGUGGAGCGGAUCGAAGAUGGUGAAUCAUAUCUUCUCAAGAUAGUGGAGAAAUAGAUUUAAGCCAUUAGCCCAAUCUCCAUAAGCAGUAGUGGAGAAAGUUGAAGAUUGCAGACUCCGU
rnacentral:lncRNA from 1 species